GAUGAACGCUGGCGGCGUGCCUAAUACAUGCAAGUCGAGCGAACAGACGAGGAGCUUGCUCCUCUGACGUUAGCGGCGGACGGGUGAGUAACACGUGGAUAACCUACCUAUAAGACUGGGAUAACUUCGGGAAACCGGAGCUAAUACCGGAUAAUAUAUUGAACCGCAUUGUUCAAUAGUGAAAUACGGUUUUGCUGUCACUUAUAGAUUGAUCCGCGCCGCAUUAGCUAGUUGGUAAGGUAACGGCUUACCAAGGCUACGAUGCGUAGCCGACCUGAGAGGGUGAUCGGCCACACUGGAACUGAGACACGGUCCAGACUCCUACGGGAGGCAGCAGUAGGGAAUCUUCCGCAAUGGGCGAAAGCCUGACGGAGCAACGCCGCGUGAGUGAUGAAGGUCUUCGGAUCGUAAAACUCUGUUAUUAGGGAAGAACAAAUGUGUAAGUAACUAUGCACGUCUUGACGGUACCUAAUCAGAAAGCCACGGCUAACUACGUG
rnacentral:rRNA from 1 species